rnacentral:lncRNA from 1 species
UCUCGUCUCUCUUGUAUAAUUCCAGUAGCAUAGUUUCGUGUUCUUCAAAACAUCCCCUAACCCUAGUUGAUUUCCUAUUACUACAUCGUCUGACAUUUCUAGACAAACUUGCUAUGUUGUUUGUGGAGAUGCUAGUCAAAGAUAAAGUUGACUUUGAUGAAGACUAUCUUGAUAAUCAAGGAAGUUGAAACUUGAUUGGCAACAAAGAUUCCACGUAAUUUUAGGUGUACCUUCUGAUAUGAACUAACUUCUGAGUUUAUUUAUUUUAACUUGGUAAGACCAUAUGGUUUAUUUUCUACAAUUCAAGAUUGUAUUGGUGUAUCCGUCGCAUGACCCUAUCCAUUCAUCUCGGUAGUCCAUGAGGAUUGAGGACACAUCAUGACUCAAGAUUUUAUGCUUCUUAUUUAUUUAAUUGCUUUUAAUUUCUUUGUUAAAUGUUAAGACUUUAUGUUGAUAAUGUUAUAACUUAUUUAUGGUUAGUGUUUUUGUUAUGUACAUGCUUAUUUGAAAUA